UACGUAGGGGGCAAGCGUUGUCUGGAAUCAUUGGGCGUAAAGAGCGUGUAGGCGGCCCGGUAAGUCCGCUGUGAAAGUCCAGGGCUCAACCCUGGGAUGCCGGUGGAUACUGUCGGGCUCGAGUCCGGAAGAGGAGUGUGGAAUUCCUGGUGUAGCGGUGAAAUGCGCAGAUAUCAGGAGGAACACCAAUGGCGAAGGCAGCACUCUGGGACGUGACUGACGCUGAGACGCGAAAGCGUGGGGAGCAAACAGG
rnacentral:rRNA from 1 species